UACGAAGGGGGCGAGCGUUGUUCGGAAUUACUGGGCGUAAAGGGCGCGUAGGCGGCGACCCAAGUCAGAUGUGAAAGUCCUGGGCUUAACCUGGGGACUGCAUUUGAUACUGGGUUGCUUGAAUUCGGGAGAGGAUAGCGGAAUUCCCAGUGUAGAGGUGAAAUUCGUAGAUAUUGGGAAGAACACCGGUGGCGAAGGCGGCUAUCUGGACCGACAUUGACGCUGAGGUGCGAAAGCGUGGGGAGCAAACAGG
rnacentral:rRNA from 1 species